GAAGGCCUUCGGGUUGUAAACUGCUUUUGUACGGAACGAAAAGACUCUGGCUAAUACCUGGGGUCCAUGACGGUACCGNAAGAAUAAGCACCGGCUAACUACGUGCCAGCAGCCGCGGUAAUACGUAGGGUGCAAGCGUUAAUCGGAAUUACUGGGCGUAAAGCGUGCGCAGGCGGUUAUAUAAGACAGAUGUGAAAUCCCCGGGCUCAACCUGGGAACUGCCUUUGUGACUGUAUAGCUAGAGUACGGUAGAGGGGGAUGGAAUUCCGCGUGUAGCAGUGAAAUGCGUAGAUAUGCGGAGGAACACCGAUGGCGAAGGCAAUCCCCUGGACCUGUACUGACGCUCAUGCACGAAAGCGUGGGGAGCAAACAGGAUUAGAUACCCUGGUAGUCCACGCCCUAAACGAUGUCAACUGGUUGUUGGGUCUUCUNUGNCUCAGUAACGAAGCUAA
rnacentral:rRNA from 1 species